rnacentral:rRNA from 1 species
UACGUAGGGGGCUAGCGUUGUCCGGAAUCAUUGGGCGUAAAGCGCGUGUAGGCGGUCCGGUAAGUCCGCUGUGAAAGUCGGGGGCUCAACCCUCGAAUGCCGGUGGAUACUGUCGGGCUAGAGUGCGGAAGAGGCGAGUGGAAUUCCUGGUGUAGCGGUGAAAUGCGCAGAUAUCAGGAGGAACACCGAUGGCGAAGGCAGGUCUCUGGGCCACUACUGACGCUGAGAAGCGAAAGCAAGGGGAUCAAACAGG